rnacentral:rRNA from 1 species
UACGUAGGGGGCUAGCGUUGUCCGGAAUCAUUGGGCGUAAAGCGCGUGUAGGCGGCCCGGUAAGUCCGCUGUGAAAGUCGGGGGCUCAACCCUCGAAUGCCGGUGGAUACUGUCGGGCUAGAGUGCGGAAGAGGCGAGUGGAAUUCCCGGUGUAGCGGUGAAAUGCGCAGAUAUCGGGAGGAACACCAAUGGCGAAGGCGGCUCUCGUGGGCCUACCUGACGCUGAGGCGCGAAAGCUGGGGAGCGAACAGG